UCGGUCGAUUUAAUUUAAUGCUAGUGGCGGACGGGUGAGUAACGCGUGGGUAACCUGCCUUAUACAGGGGGAUAACAGUCAGAAAUGGCUGCUAAUACCGCAUAAGCGCACAGAGCUGCAUGGCUCAGUGUGAAAAACUCCGGUGGUAUAAGAUGGACCCGCGUUGGAUUAGCUAGUUGGUGGGGUAACGGCCCACCAAGGCGACGAUCCAUAGCCGGCCUGAGAGGGUGAACGGCCACAUUGGGACUGAGACACGGCCCAGACUCCUACGGGAGGCAGCGGUGGGGAAUAUUGCACAAUGGGGGAAACCCUGAUGCAGCGACGCCGCGUGAAGGAAGAAGUAUCUCGGUAUGUAAACUUCUAUCAGCAGGGAAGAUAGUGACGGUACCUGACUAAGAAGCCCCGGCUAACUACGUG
rnacentral:rRNA from 1 species